GCUGGGCUGGGGGCGCGUACAGACUCCGAGGCCGCUGUCGCGAUCUGGGCCCUAAACGGACCGUUUCCUGCCCGGGGGCGCAGGGGGAGACUCACUGUACUCGGCGAAGGCGGCUCUCCCACCUUCGACCCAUGUCUGGAUUCCCUGCCCAGACUUGGUAGUUUCUCUCCGCGUCUUCUUCAGACGUGUGGGGAGUCUGUUUUCGGGUAUUUGGAGGACUCGCCCCUUAACCACCGCCCCCCGGAAGGACAGACCUGGCGCUCGGAGUUCAGGUUCUUGGGAAGAGCAAUCAAACAGGCAGAACAUGGUCCUCCUUUGGAACGAUGAAGCUCCCCGCUCUGAGGAAAUAGUGAGGGUUGGAGGCCCGAGAGGUGACUCCCGCGCUGCUCGGGAGGUGGAAGGGCAAGGCCUCUUGGUGGUCAGGGCCGUCGGGCGGGGUUUUGCAGAGCGCGUCUCCGCAGAGCUCAGAUGCAAAGGCUGUACAGGUCUUAGAUGACGGCUUCUUAACCUUCUCGGUCACUUAUUUGCACCUGGAAGAGGCCAAGACUUGUGUUUGCCGUUUCCUCGCGGCACCGUGACAGGUUAAAGGCAUUCGUUACAGAGAUCGGUGAGAACUCACAGAGGGGAGAAGGGGAACGGAGAGAAACUUAGUUUUUUAAAGCUCCCCUUGCUUCUCCUGAGAUGUGUCAGAGAAAGGGAGAGCAGUGUAGGGACUGAGGCCCCUCCUGCUGCAGGUUGCCACCUGUCUCUGCUCCAGGGUCACGGCAAUUUCCAGAGCGUGCCUCCGGGUCUCUGCCCAGACUCUUCAUACCUGCUUAGGCGCCCACUGCAGGGUGGAGCCAGGGGCCUGGGUCUGUACUCUCCAGGUCAGAAAGAGGGACUUUUAGAGGUGCGUGGGGCACCACCUUUGCACCCAUCAUCUCAUCCAUCCUCAUGGCAGAACUUUCAGGAACAUCCAGGCGAUGGGGCUUUCUGAGGUACAGUCCGAGGCUCUCGGGUGAGUGACUUGUCCAGCAUCGCGGGUCCGGGAGCAACUGAGCAGACCCUGGAACCUGUGAGGUCGGUGUCAGGUGUCAGCCCUCUGCGUCCUCCGCCCGCCCCCGAGAUCACACUGCUUUCAUUUUCCAGUCUGGGCACCCCUAACCUCCGGGAAGUCUCCCCGUCUGAAUCUCAAAGGGAAGUUUAGUGGCGUGGUCGACAUCCAGUCGGGAGUAGAAAAGAACUGUGUGUUCCCGUCGCUGUGAAGGCCCACCCUCACGGCAGUCUCUCCGAUCUUUCCAUUUGUUUGGGAGACCGACCGGCGCAAACUGAGUCCAUCAAUACGAGGGAACGAUUUAAAAUGGCUGCUAUGCAACAGAGGCUCUGGGCCUCCACCAUGGAAGGCUUCUCUACUUGGCCUGACUGAGCCACCUGCCCUCACAAAGAGCACGCAGUGCCAACAGCACUGUUUACAAUAGCCAAGACGUGGAAGCAGCCUAAGUGUCCAGC